UUUUAGAAAAAUAAACAAAUUAGAAAUUAAUUUUUGAAAAAAAAUUAAACAAUGAAACUAAUAAAUAAAGAAAAAAAAAACAAAAGAAAAAGAGAUUAACCAAAUCAAUUAAAAAUAAAAAAAUUAAUUAAAAACAUAUUAUUCAUUUACUAUUUCUAUCAUCAAUUUAACUAUUUUAAAACCAUAUCAUUCCGUUAACUAUUUUAAAACCAUAUCAUUCCAUUUUUCACUUGUAUCCCUCUUUCCAUUAGACCAACUAACCUGAAACAUUUUUAUGUUUUACUCAUAGUUUUUUCUUCUGAAACCUAACCCUCCACAUCACCCUCCAUGUCACAUUCCACAUCACC
rnacentral:lncRNA from 1 species